CUGAGUCAGUCUCUGAGUCAGAGCCCAGGAAACAAGCCCUCCAGGUAAUUUUGAUGAACUAUCCAGUUUGAGAAGCUGGGUAGUUUCUCUACUUCAUUCAAUUUACAGAGGGUUAAAAAAACAAAACAAAUAGGCACAAAGAAGCAAGGUGAUUUGCCCAAAUUUAUGCAGCCAAGCCAGGUCUCAAAGUAAGCUGUGCUUAACCACAUCAUUUGAGAGGCAUCUCCAUGUUUCCAUCAAACUGUAAAACAGCAACAGAAAUCUCUUCUCACCUUUGAAGAUCCUCCCCUCCCCAGUCUCCAGGGAUGAAAAUAACUUUCACUUGCUCCGAGGUUAUGCAAAGUGAAGCCUCACCAUUACUCACGUGUUUGUGCGCCCUAUCUCAGACUUGACGUCGGCUGGCCUCAAGAGACCUUGGAGUCGGUGAGGACCACGUACUGCCUGGGGAGGCAGGUCUACCUUUGACCCCAGCCCUAGGGCAUGCUGGGAGAAAGAGCGAGACUGAGGCUGGAGAGGGGAAGACAGCACCCAGGGUGGUACCAUUGAUGACUCAGGUUCCUCCUCUGCUCUGGCCGUGCCCCUCGCAUUCUGUCUCCCUGCAACCCUGAUCAAGUACUGACUGUGGGCACUCGGUGGAUGCACUGGGACUCAUGAACCUACAUCUGCCCCCAAGGGAGUUUAUCGCCCACAGCGGGGGGAUCUUCCCAACCCAGGGAUUGAACACAGGUCUCCUGCAUUAUCAGCAGAUUCUUUACCAUCUGAGCCACCAGGAAAGCCCUAGGGCGAUCAGGAGCCUGGCUGGGGCUGCAAGAAGCAGCUGUGGCAGCUGAGUGAGAGGGGAAACUCUUACUAGAAUAUUUGGGCUGGCAAGUGACACCACUUCUGCUCUGAGAUAAGAUGGAGACUUUUCCAAGCUAUGUUUUAAAAUCAUAAAAAAACAGAGUCUCCUGCUGGAGAUAAGAUAUAAGUUGGUGUGGAGCAUCUGGGAGCUGUAAAAGAGGAGGGUUAUACCAGCAUUACUGAGGUUAUUACUGAAACCAAGAUUAUAAGUAAUUAAAGUUUUGAAAGUUUUCUCCAGGUACACAAUAGACUACUCAGUAUGUUGGAUUCUUGAGCUGGGGUCAGGUUAACUAUUAAAAGAGGAUGAAAAGUAUUUCUAACAAACCUGACAUUUAUUUAAAACCUACCCUAUUCCUGCUGUUUUAGCAGAUAUCGCUUUAAGCUGUGGCUCUUUUCCUGGCUCUCGGGACUUCUAAUGUUGAUUCACUUCCAUGCCUACUUCAUGGUGCUUUACCUCAUUUCGAUGUUAAAUUAGCCUGCUUGUUAUCAUGCUGGAAUGGAUGGUCUUCACCACGCUGUCUCCUGGGAUCCAACAAACUCAGAGCCUUCGGAGAAACAAGGACCAACCUUCAUAGCAUUUCUUCUCCAACUAUAACUCCUUUUGCUAGAAGCAAAUGCUGGGCUUGCACGGGAGAUUCUUGUCCCCCCCUCCCUUUUUUUUUCUCAGAAAGAGCAAAUUGCAUUUUUCAUUGCAGGAGCACACAAGCCCUAACUUUCAUGUGCCUAAAAUGUUCUUUAAUCGGCGUCUUCUUUCAGUAUCUUUGAUCUGCAGGAUGUAAUCACAUUUUCCUUGAAG
ensembl:lncRNA